rnacentral:rRNA from 1 species
UGACCUCAAAUCAGGUAGGGAUACCCGCUGAACUUAAGCAUA